rnacentral:rRNA from 1 species
GAUGAACGCUGGCGGCGUGCCUAAUACAUGCAAGUCGAGCGAACGGACGAGAAGCUUGCUUCUCUGAUGUUAGCGGCGGACGGGUGAGUAACACGUGGAUAACCUACCUAUAAGACUGGGAUAACUUCGGGAAACCGGAGCUAAUACCGGAUAAUAUUUUGAACCGCAUGGUUCAAAAGUGAAAGACGGUCUUGCUGUCACUUAUAGAUGGAUCCGCGCUGCAUUAGCUAGUUGGUAAGGUAACGGCUUACCAAGGCAACGAUGCAUAGCCGACCUGUGAGGGUCAGCGGCCACACUGGAACUGAGACACGGUCCAGACGCCUACGGGAGGCAGCAGUAGGGAAUCUUCCGCAAUGGGAGAAAGCCUGACGGAGCAACGCCGCGUGAGUGAUGAAGGUCUUCGGAUCGUAAAACUCUGUUAUUAGGGAAGAACAUAUGUGUAAGUAACUGUGCACAUCUUGACGGUACCUAAUCAGAAAGCCACGGCUAACUACGUG